rnacentral:pre_miRNA from 1 species
CACCAUUACCAGUUGAAGCUGCCAGCAUGAUCUUAACUUCCCCUCCUCCUGCUCUUCAGCUCCUUGGAGGGAAGACGAUCGAGAUCAUGUGGUAGCUUCACCUGUUGCUGGU